rnacentral:rRNA from 1 species
GACAGAGGGUGCAAACGUUGUUCGGAAUCACUGGGCGUAAAGCGCACGUAGGCGGCUUCUUAAGUCAGGGGUGAAAUCCUGGAGCUCAACUCCAGAACUGCCUUUGAUACUGAGUAGCUUGAGUCCGGGAGAGGUGAGUGGAACUGCGAGUGUAGAGGUGAAAUUCGUAGAUAUUCGCAAGAACACCAGUGGCGAAGGCGGCUCACUGGCCCGGUACUGACGCUGAGACACGAAAGCGUGGGUAGCAAACAGG